UUCAGCGUGAAUUUGCAGCUACCUGUAAAAGUGCCGUUGCAUACUGUGAGGCUAGAAUUUGGUUGCUGUGGGUGGAAUGUGUGCUGUAGCGAUGAAAUGCUUAGAGAUCACACAGAAUAUCGAUUGCGAAGGCAGCUCACAAAGGCCAAGAUGACGCUGAGGCACGAAAGUGUGGGGAUCAAACAGGAUUAGAUACCUGGUAGUCACACUGUAAACGAUGAUAACUCGCUGUCGGCGAUAUACAGUCGGUGACCAAGCGAAAGCGAUAAGUUAUCCACCUGGGGAGUACGACCGCAAGGUUGAAACUCAAAGGAAUUGACGGGGGCCCGCACAAGCGGAGGAACAUGUGGUUUAAUUCGAUGAUACGCGAGGAACCUUACCCGGGCUCGAACGGUGCAGGAAUAUGGUAGAGAUAUCAUAGCUAGCAAUAGUCUGUAUCGAGGUGCUGCAUGGUUGUCGUCAGCUCGUGCCGUGAGGUGUCGGCUUAAGUGCCAUAACGAGCGCAACCCUUGUCAUUA
rnacentral:rRNA from 1 species